AUGUGCUUUCACGAGAAACACAACUGUAAUUUCCAAAAAGGAAACACACAAUUGUGCUUCUGUGAGAAGCACAACCUGCUCUUCCACGAGAAACAAAGUUGUGCUUCCCUGAAAAAGGGGAAAGCACAAUGUGUGCUUCCACGAAAAGCGCAACUAUGCUUCCCGAAAAAAUGCACGGUUGUGCUUUCGAAAAAGAAGAAAAAUCACAACUAUUAUUCUAGUAUUUUUGGUUUAUUUUUUUGGUUUUGGUCUUUUUCCGGUUCCAUUUUUUCAUUUCUGUUAUUUUUCAGUUCCUGUUUAAUCCCAAAUUCUUUGGGUUUUUUUGUGAAAAAUAGUUUGUUGAAAUCUAUUAAAAUGAGAUCUAGUUUCCAAAUGCUUGUACUUACGAAAAAUCAUUGA
rnacentral:rRNA from 1 species